UGGGGACUAUCCCAUUCUAUGAGUGAGUGAUAGGUGGAGUGGUAGAGGAGGGUACACGCGAGGGUGAGGUCUCAAGUUCGAAUCCCACCGACCGCGUAGCACGCGAUUUUACGCGAAAAAAUGCGCGACUUGCCAAACGGCCUUUCCUAUAAUUUAAAUAUUUUUUUUUCUAUUUUUAAAAGUCGAUUUUGUAUUUUGUAAAAACAUUUCUACAGGCGGUUCACGUAACUAAACCGCCUGUAGAAAUUUAUUUUUACAGGCGGUUCUUAGUUACCGCAUGUAGAAAUGUCCCAUUUCUACUGACCUCCAGCGCAGGCGGUGCUGAAAAACGCCAGUCGAAAUGGGUUUCCGGCCGCCUGUACAGUAUGCGUAUGUACUAGUGCAGUUUGGUGACUAUUUGCCAAACUAACUGCUCUUCGAUCGAAUUGCCACACUAAUUCUCCCACUUGGAAGGAUUUGCUUGUUACUUUCUUGUUAUACGCUUUCACAAUACAAAGGUUUAUCUUUCUCUAUGUGAGCCUCGGUAGAUAAUACUACUUCAUGACCAUACACCAACUCAAAAGGAGUAACUUUUGUAGCACCAUGCCUUGAAAUCCAACGUGCUCAUCGAGCUUCAGACAAAACUUUAUGCAACCUCCUCGGAUGUUUCUCAAUCUUCUAUUAGAUAAGCUUUACCAAAGUCUUAUUACUACACUAGUACAAUAAAUUUCUUGCGUGGCAGCCAAAAUAGAUUUUUAGUGGCGAGUAGCCCAACUGCUGUUGUGCCACCAGCGCUAAAGAUCGAGCAUCAAAAGAGAUGGUCUUCAAACUGCU
rnacentral:lncRNA from 1 species